GUGGGAGGGAAGGGGCGUUCAAAACCGCAAAUCACAGACUGCGCCUGCAAAGGGCGUGGGCUUUGUCUUUAAUAGUGUUAUUACAUAGCUGCAUGGAUCCCCCGGUAGUUGAGGGCGUAUUCUACGCCUCGCGGAUGCGCUUGAGCGUCGGCACCUGCGUGAGAACGACCCGCGGACGAAGAGAAACCGGCUUUUAUUUACUCCGACCGAACGUCUGACACGUGAACGCAACCCCGCGCGAUGGCUUGGAUACUUCCUACAAAAUAAAUCGAUAGAUAGUCCCUUAUGCGUCUAUCUUUCCUCUCUCUCUCUCUCUCGCUUUCCACAGCCUCUAAUGGCGACGUCGCGUUUUGCACACAAUGGCUUUCAUCAGCAGUGCGCAUUUAGCAGAAUAGCGAAAUAAAGCACAGCCCGGUUCUAGUCGGAUAUGGCGGGGAGCACAUCCGAGCCGCUGUGCCAGCCGUGCGUUUACCGCGGAGCCUUCAAAGUUCCAGGAGCAGCUGGGACACGGCUGCAGCCCGGAGGAGUCAGACACGUUUCAGGCUCAAGGAUCAGAGAUCCUUGACCAGAUGCUGCAGUGCCUUGAACAUCUACCAAAGCCUAUGCCCCAGCUGGAGGACUACCUGGACAUGGUGGGUCUGUCGGUCAUGUUCCCCCGUGUAGAGGUGUUCCUCAUUCAAGGCAGCCCAGUGGACAUGCUGGAGAGGCCGCCGAUGGACGACUACUACUCCCACGUCACCAAACUGAACCAGCUCCUGGUGCUGAGUCAACAGCUGGAAGAAGAUAUCCGGCACCUCGGGAGUCACAAAUACAUUGCCCACCAGCUGUCGGUCAUCUAUCAAGUCGUCUGCUCUUUCAGAGGCAUUCAGGCUUUUUCCAAAAUGAAGAAAGACAUCGAGGCCAACUUCAAACAGCUGAAGCAGUCUCUGGUGGCGGAGGAGGGCUCCAGGCACGAACCUCAGCUGGCCGCAAACUACAUCGACUGGGUACUAGAGCUGACUCAGAGCUUGACGUCGCUGGUGUUGACGCUGCCCGAGGAGCUGACCGAGGAACUCGACCAGGCCGUGACCUUCGUGUCCCAGUUCCUUUCCUGACUCCCCCCCCCCCACCCCCAAAGCUGACGCCUGGUGUUGUCACGACUGUCAAACGGUGCUAUGUUAUUGAAUUCAACCGGGGGGAUUGCGUACUCCAUUUACAAAUCAUGUAGGUUUUAUAUAUAUAUGUAUAUAAUUCGUCCUCCUGGUCCAUAUUCGUUCCUACGGUGAGUCAGUUAGAGAUGAAUGUAAUGUAUGAAUCCCUCCUUGCACUACUGUCAUAACUACUGUUAAACUUUCUUUUUUUUUAACCUAAAGUGGAAUAAUAAAAUGUAAUGCAAUAGGGA
ensembl:lncRNA